rnacentral:tRNA from 1 species
GCGCCAGUAGCUCAAUUGGAUAGAGCAUCAGACUUCGGAUCUGAGGGUUAGGGGUUCGACUCCUCUCUGGCGUA